AAAGUCGUAACAAGGUCUCCGUUGGUGAACCAGCGGAGGGAUCAUUACCGAGUUUACAACUCCCAAACCCCUGUGAACAUACCUAUACGUUGCCUCGGCGGAUCAGCCCGCGCCCCGUAAAAAGGGACGGCCCGCCCGAGGACCCCUAAACUCUGUUUUUAGUGGAACUUCUGAGUAAAACAAACAAAUAAAUCAAAACUUUCAACAACGGAUCUCUUGGUUCUGGCAUCGAUGAAGAACGCAGCAAAAUGCGAUAAGUAAUGUGAAUUGCAGAAUUCAGUGAAUCAUCGAAUCUUUGAACGCACAUUGCGCCCGCCAGUAUUCUGGCGGGCAUGCCUGUUCGAGCGUCAUUUCAACCCUCAAGCUCAGCUUGGUGUUGGGACUCGCGGUAACCCGCGUUCCCCAAAUCGAUUGGCGGUCACGUCGAGCUUCCAUAGCGUAGUAAUCAUACACCUCGUUACUGGUAAUCGUCGCGGCCACGCCGUAAAACCCCAACUUCUGAAUGUUGACCUCGGAUCAGGUAGGAAUACCCGCUGAACUUAAGCAUAUCAAUAAG
rnacentral:rRNA from 1 species